rnacentral:rRNA from 1 species
UACGGAAGGGCAAGCGUUGUUCGGAAUCAUUGGGCGUAAGGCGCGUAGGUGGUUCUGUAUGUCUACCGUGAAGCAUACAGCUCAACUGUAUUUGUCGGUAGAAACUGCAGGACUUGAGGCUGGGAGGGGCUGGUGGAAUUCCCUGUGUAGCGGUGAAUGCGUAGAGAUGGGGAGAACACUCGUGGCGAAGGCGGCCAGCUAGACCAGUUCUGACACUGAGGCGCGACAGCGUGGGAGCAAACAGG